CUCUUUGAAAAUUAUUAAUAAAGAGUUGGGCGCGCUCGGUGAGAAGAAAAUAUAACAGAGGCGGUAUUAUAACUGUACUAAGGGAGCAUAAUAAUUUGCCUUAUAAAAUAAGGCGAGAAAGAAAGGUUUGACGAAAAAUAGACUGUCUUUAUUUUAUUUGUUAGAAAAUAAUUUUUAUAGUGAAAAAGCUUGAAUAAUUUAAGGGGACGAGAAGACCCUAUUGAGCUUUAUUUAUUAAUAUUUAAAUAUAAAUAUAUAAUUUAUAUUAUGAAAAAUAUGUUGUAUAUAUAUAUAUAUAUAUUUAAGUGGAUUUAAUUUUGAGUGGGGUGAUCAAGGAAUAAAGAUAAAGUAACUUCCUUAAAAUUAAUGAGUGUUUUUAUAGAGUAAUAAACCAAGUUUUUUGCUUAUAAGAUAAGUUACCAUAGGGGUAACAGCGUAAUUUUUUUUGAGAGUUCAUAUUGAAAAAAGAGAUUGCGACCUCGAUGUUGGAUUAAAAAUUACCUUAAGGUGUAGAGGCUUUGUUGGGAGAAUCUGUUCGAUUUUUAAAAUUUUACGUGAUC
rnacentral:rRNA from 1 species